GAGGGUACAUCUCAGUGGAAGAGUGUGUGCUUAGCAUGCAUGAGGUCCUGGGUUCAAUCCCUGGUACCUCCA
rnacentral:tRNA from 1 species